UGGCGAACGGGUGAGUAACACGUGGGUGAUCUGCCCUGCACUUCGGGAUAAGCUUGGGAAACUGGGUCUAAUACCGGAUAGGAGCCAUCUUUAGUGUGGUGGUUGGAAAGUUUUUUCGGUGUAGGAUGAGCUCGCGGCCUAUCAGCUUGUUGGUGGGGUAAUGGCCUACCAAGGCGGCGACGGGUAGCCGGCCUGAGAGGGUGUACGGCCACAUUGGGACUGAGAUGCGGCCCAG
rnacentral:rRNA from 1 species